AAUUACACAUAAAGUACAACUCUUUAUGCACAAGAUAUUAUUUCACCAUUUUAUAUUUAUGUGUACUUAUACACCAGAUAUGAAUCUGCAAUUUCUCAGUCAACUCUCUCUCUCAUCCCCCUCUCUCUCCAUCAACACCCACCUCUGUAGUAAUCACCACUACCACCGCACUGCACCAUGCCACCACCUCCACCACCACACCGCACCAUACCUGAAUCCAGCUUUCAGUUCAUUCAACUUUGGCAAUUAAUAUGGGCCCCUAAAUUGAAUGUUCAAGAAUCAAGAACCACCAUUGAGAUGGGGCGAAGAAGGUGAUGGUGGUGUGGUGGUGGUGCGACGGUGAUGGCCAAAGGGGUAACAGCCGCCACUGCUUCAGCCCGGUUCGAAGCUCCGGUGGCCACAGUCACACCGCACCAAAGAGAGACGGACAGUGUUGUUUAUUUAUUUUGCAAAAAGGAGGAGGGGUUUAGGGCCGACUUACCAAUAUUGUUAAACAUUUGUAGUUGAAAGUUUAGAGCCGACUUACCAACCUGUGGCAGUUGAUGGUUACCAAGUCCAGGUGUCCCCCUUCGCAAUCAC